UGAGGAAUAUUGGGCAAUGCCCGCAAGGGUUACCCAGCAACGCCGCGUGGAGGAUGAAUGUCGUAAGAUUGUAAACUCCUGUUAGAGGGGAAGAAUAGUACCGGUUGGACCGGUAUAUGACUGUACCCUCAGAGAAAGCCCCGGCUAACUACGUGCCAGCAGCCGCGGUAAUACGUAGGGGGCAAGCGUUGUCCGGAUUUACUGGGUGUAAAGGGCGCGCAGGCGGGAUAAAAAGUCAGUGGUGAAAUCCUACAGCUUAACUGUAGAACUGCCUUUGAUACUUUUAUUCUUGAGUUCGGGAGAGAGAGACGGAAUUCCAGGUGUAGUGGUGAAAUACGUAGAUAUCUGGAAGAACACCAGUUGCGAAGGCGGUCUCUUGGUCCGACACUGACGCUGAGGCGCGAAAGCGUGGGGAGCAAACA
rnacentral:rRNA from 1 species